rnacentral:rRNA from 1 species
GUGGGGAAUUUUGGACAAUGGGCGCAAGCCUGAUCCAGCCAUUCCGCGUGCAGGAUGAAGGCCUUCGGGUUGUAAACUGCUUUUGUACGGAACGAAAAGCCUCUGGUUAAUACCCGGGGGUCAUGACGGUACCGUAAGAAUAAGCACCGGCUAACUACGUGCCAGCAGCCGCGGUAAUACGUAGGGUGCAAGCGUUAAUCGGAAUUACUGGGCGUAAAGCGUGCGCAGGCGGUUAUAUAAGACAGAUGUGAAAGCACCGGGCUCAACCUGGGAACUGCGUUGGUGACUGUAUAGCUAGAGUACGGCAGAGGGGGAUGGAAUUCCGCGUGUAGCAGUGAAAUGCGUAGAUAUGCGGAGGAACACCGAUGGCGAAGGCAAUCCCCUGGGCCUGUACUGACGCUCAUGCACGAAAGCGUGGGGAGCAAACAGGAUUAGAAACCCUUGUAGUCC